rnacentral:rRNA from 1 species
CCAGCUAUUCUAGGCAUACAAUCUUAAAGUUAUGUCCGUGCUGCCAUAGCCGAUAAACCGAUGGUUAAGGAACUCUGCAAACUAGCACCGUAAGUUCGCGAUAAGGUGUGCCGCAGCAAUGCGGUCUCAGCAAAGAGUCCCUCCCGACUGUUUACCAAAAACACAGCACUUUGCCAACUCGUAAGAGGAAGUAUAAGGUGUGACGCCUGCCCGGUGCUCGAAGGUUAAGAGGAUGCGUCAGUCGCAAGAUGAAGCGUUGAAUUGAAGCCCGAGUAAACGGCGGCCGUAACUAUAACGGUCCUAAGGUAGCGAAAUUCCUUGUCGGUUAAAUACCGACCUGCAUGAAUGGCGUAACGAGAUGGGAGCUGUCUCAACCAGAGAUUCAGUGAAAUUGUAGUGGAGGUGAAAAUUCCUCCUACCCGCGGCAAGACGGAAAGACCCCGUGGACCUUUACUACAACUUAGCACUGCUAAUGGGAAUAUCAUGCGCAGGAUAGGUGGGAGGCUUUGAAGUAAGGGCUUUGGCUCUUAUGGAGCCAUCCUUGAGAUACCACCCUUGAUGUUUCUGUUAGCUAACUGGCCUGUGUUAUCCACAGGCAGGACAAUGCUUGGUGGGUAGUUUGACU